UGAGAUGCUUGAAGUUCACUUUCCAGCAAUUAUUAAUAAAGAAUGCUUUAUCUUUUACCCUCCUGCUGUUUUUUUUUUUACUUGGCUUUAUACAUCCUUGGAAAAGCCCUGAUGAUAUCGUUUUCAUUUCAUCCUAUUGCAGGUGCAUAUCACACGAUGUGAAUAGGCAAAGAGUUAUAGGGGGAUCUCUACAGUGCUCCAGUUUGGUGCAGGCUUCAAUGGUGUGAGGCUGAUAUUGGGGGGAGGAAGCCAAAAUGGGUGAACUUGAUGGGUGCAGACAGGUUGAACGUUUUCAUAGAUGCUAGAGAUGGUCGCGGAAUGGAGGCAAGGUUGACACUGAACAAACAUGACUGGCAUUGCUGGGUCAUGACCAAGAACUGUUGGUGCUUGUACCCUUGUGUCAUGGAAUGGUCACCGGAAUAUUUAUGUUAGAUCGAGUAUCUAUAGAAACUUUGGUCGCA